UACGGGGGGGGCAAGCGUUGUUCGGAAUUACUGGGCGUAAAGGGCUCGUAGGUGGCCAACUAAGUCAGACGUGAAAUCCCUCGGCUUAACCGGGGAACUGCGUCUGAUACUGGAUGGCUUGAGUUCGGGAGAGGGAUGCGGAAUUCCUGGUGUAGCGGUGAAAUGCGCAGAUAUCAGGAGGAACACCUAUUGCGAAGGCAGCUCGCUGGGACGUAACUGACGCUGAGACGCGAAAGCGUGGGGAGCGAACAGG
rnacentral:rRNA from 1 species